rnacentral:rRNA from 1 species
UACGUAGGGGGCAAGCGUUGUCCGGAAUUAUUGGGCGUAAAGCGCGCGCAGGCGGCCUUUUACGUCUGAUGUGAAAUCUUGCGGCUCAACCGCAAGCGGCCAUUGGAAACUGGGAGGCUUGAGUACAGAAGAGGAGAGUGGAAUUCCACGUGUAGCGGUGAAAUGCGUAGAUAUGUGGAGGAACACCAGUGGCGAAGGCGACUGUCUGGUCUGUAACUGACGCUGAGGCGCGAAAGCGUGGGGAGCAAACAGG